AGGAAGUAUUUUAUAAUCUUUUCAGACAGACAAUUAAGGCACGCAUAUCAACGAGGCUUCUAAAUCCACAGGCAAAUUUUCUCGGCGCGGAUUCGAACACUAAUUAAGUAAUUUGUCGUGACGAGAUUCAACACUCCACCUUGCACUUCAAGGCGGCCCAGCUGUCAGAUGCAAAAAGCAAGCAAGGGAAGCAGCUGGCCGAGCAAAACAUAUCAAGUGCUUACCUCAUCUAGCUGCCGACACAAACCACCGAGCAAUGCAUGGAUAUACUAAUUACCAACUCUGAAACAGCGACGAGCCCUUUCCAUUUUAAAGCCAUAUUUUCAUCAAACAAAAAACAAAGUGUUAUAAUGGUUAAUUACCGUGUGAUUAGACUUGUACCAAU
rnacentral:misc_RNA from 1 species